rnacentral:lncRNA from 1 species
GGGUGAGUACUUGUACUCGUAUUUUGUUGAUCGAAAUUCUUGUAUUCUCUCAAUCUUUCUAACUGUGUUGUCUUCGUUCUUUAUAGAGCUGAAAGGUCAAGAAGCUAGACUUAGCAGUCAAGUUUUGGUUUGGAGGAAUGCACAUAGUCGUGCCGCUGACAAAGUUGAACAGCUCACGGCUCAGCUGGCAGAGUUAAGGGAAAAUUGCGAAAGAGAGAGGGGUCAGUGACAAAACUUUGUUGUUAUGUUGGCUGAAGCUAUGCUUACUGUCAGAAGUCAUGCGGCUACUUUGCAAAAGAAAGAGCAAGAUCUUAAAGAAUUAUCUGACGCAGCGUGGGCUUUGGUUGAU